AUGGGGGCCAGAUGUCAUGUAUUUGAUUUCAAGGUAUAUUUUCAUACCACGAGUCCUAACAGUGUUUUGAAUGACAAUCAUGCUUGGUGUAUGCUUUGGUGUACACGUGUCAAACAUGAUGUACACUUUGGAGUGUACGAAUAGCAUUUCCCUUUGAAUGAUGGAACAAAAAUUCACAGUUAUUCCUGUCUGAUACAUUUCUGUAGAGCAUGUGUGAUUUGACAUAUACUGUUGAGCUCUAUGGUUCAGGUUGAACCCUAAUGUGGAAUUCAUAUUGUUGCAAAUUUUCUCAGACUAAAAUUGAUAUGAUUGGAGCAGCCUGUGAAAGUGCUGAGAAGAUCAUAGUCGAUACUCGUAAAGCCUACUUUGGCUGGGGCCAACAAUUUUUCAUACUAUGGUCAAGGUUCAAGCAUAAAAAAUACAAGAAGAAGAAAAUUUGCUUUGGAGUGCUGUAAAUCAUGGUGAAGGAGGGUUAAUAUUACCUGGAGACUAAAGGCAGACAACAUCUACCCUUCCAGUGCAUUUGUUAGACAUCUUCGCUGCCAAUGAUGGUCCACAGAAUAAUUCUGAUACAAUCUGGCUUCUGGAGCACAACUUCUUGGGAGAGCAGUGGCUUCCUUCGACAACGCAACGGCAUCUCCUCUGAAAUAUGCCAAUUCACCGAGAUCCGGUGCAAACAUGAUGAACGCCGUCUCCUCAGCAGCAUCACACCAGCAACUGCAGUAGCAAAGGCAGAAAAUAAUGCAAUUGCCUCAGCAUCCACAGCUCCUGACCCAACAGCAUUUUACGCAAUAUUCAGUGACUAACAUGGGACAUGUAUUUUUUGGACCGACUUGUAAUGAUCGGAGGUUUCAAUCCAUUUCAUUUAAACUUACUACUUUGUUUUGUGUAGAUACUGAUGUCUCUGGUCAUUAAAUUUCCUCAAUAUCUGCAUCUUAUGUUGAAGCAAGAAAA